rfam:Triticum urartu cultivar G1812 contig208004, whole genome shotgun sequence.
GUAGUACUCCCUUCGUCCCAAAAUUCUUGUCUUAAAUUUGUCUAGAUACUGAUACAUUCCUAUAUAGACAAAUCUAAGAUAAGAAUUUUGGGAUGGAGGGAAUAGUAU